rnacentral:tRNA from 1 species
ACCUGGGUGGCUCAGUCGGUUGAGCGUCUGACUUCAGCUCAGGUCAUGGUCUCGCAGUUUGUGGGUUCGAACCCCAUGUUGGGCU